UGAGUAUGAGUAUGAGUAUUCAAACACGUUCAAAGUUCACACGUUCUACUGUUGGGGAUCCCGGCCAGCUAAACAAUUGGUUUAGCUUUCCUUCCCGAAGGAAGUAUCAUACUUUACUUCACAAAGGAAGCAUCACACACAGAACAAAUGUAAGAAUACUCAUUUCUCAUCAGAAAGUCAUCAAUAAAAUGUUCACCGAAACAUCAUAAAAUAUCACAG
rnacentral:lncRNA from 1 species